rnacentral:rRNA from 1 species
CCUACGGGUGGCAGCAGUGGGGAAUAUUGGACAAUGGGCGAAAGCCUGAUCCAGCCAUGCCGCGUGUGUGAAGAAGGCCUUCGGGUUGUAAAGCACUUUCAGUGGGGAAGAAAGCCUUGGGGCUAAUACCCUCGAGGAAGGACAUCACCCACAGAAGAAGCACCGGCUAACUCCGUGCCAGCAGCCGCGGUAAUACGGAGGGUGCGAGCGUUAAUCGGAAUUACUGGGCGUAAAGCGCGCGUAGGCGGUUUGAUAAGCCGGUUGUGAAAGCCCCGGGCUCAACCUGGGAACGGCAUCCGGAACUGGCAGGCUAGAGUGCGGGAGAGGAAAGUAGAAUUCCCGGUGUAGCGGUGAAAUGCGUAGAGAUCGGGAGGAAUACCAGUGGCGAAGGCGGCCUUCUGGACUGACACUGACGCUGAGGUGCGAAAGCGUGGGUAGCAAACAGGAUUAGAUACCCGAGUAGUC